rnacentral:rRNA from 1 species
GUAGGGACCAAGCGUUAUCCGGAAUUAUUGGGCGUAAAGGGUGCGUAGGCGGCCAUGUAAGUCUAAGUUAAAAGCCCACAGCUUAACUGUGGAAGGUGCUUAGAAACUGUAUGGCUUGAAUUCAGAAGAGGCAAGUGGAAUUCUAUGUGGAGCGGUGGGAUGCGUAGAUAUAUGGAGGAACACCAGUGGCGAAGGCGGCUUGCUGGGCUGAUAUUGACGCUGAUGCACGAAAGCGUGGGGGAGCAAACAGGAUUAGAUACCCUGGUAGUCCACGCCCGUAAACGAUGAGUACUAAGUGUUGGAGAAAUUCAGUGCUGAACUUAACAGAUUAAGUACUCCGCCUGGGAUUACGACCGCAAGGUUG